UUUGCAUUUGGAUGACAUAAUUGAUAAGUUGAAAGUCCUCAAAAUCAGAGCCAAAGAUGGAAAGAAAUACAAACUAUUUCAAUCUUUUAAGUCCUCCAUCCCCUUCUUCACCAUCAUGGCUAAAGCUUCUUUUGUUCCCAGCAUGUCUCUUUUUAGUAGCAUAUGUAUCAUCUGUACCAUCUGUAUCAUCUGUAUCACUCUCUGCAUCCACGUAAAAUACAUGAACACCACAACUCUCCACCUUGAUGUCUACAUAAUCAUCUUUUGGACCCCAAUUUCUGAUGUAGAAUUCAAAUGAUGCCUCCUCAUAAUUCUGGUCUUCUUAAACCAUGUCGGCGGUAGAUAGAAUGAACACGUGAUAAUCCUUGUACUUCUCUGGCUCAGGAGACAAGAACAAAGAUAUUUCACUUUCACUUCUUGGCUUUUCAUAACCACCACCACCACCAUCAUUGCCACCAUCAGCGGCUGUAAGUUGGUACUUACAAAUACAUUCAACACCACAAAUGUAACGGCAGUGAGUGAGAUCAGCCACAAGGCAGAUAACAAAAACCAAAAAUCUACUCCCACCACCUUCAUUUGGGGCUAUCUUCAAACUUAAGGAAGAAUUCAUGCUCUGAUACUUGAACAUAUUUGUUAAAAUUCUGUUUCCUGGGAAACAACAAAUCAAACUUCGAAAGUUAUCACCCAGGUAUUUUGUUGGGUUUUUGACAGCAGCAAAAGAAGAGAACAAGAUAGAGAACAAAGAAGGAAGAAACAAAGAACAAUUUACUUGCUCACAAACGUGCAGCUAGGAAGCAAUCUGCCUUACACAACUGAUAUGCUUACUCAUUCAAUAUGAAAACAAUACAUUUAUAGUCAAAAUACAUCACCAAAUAUUCAACUAACCCUACUAAUCAGCAUUGGGACUAUUAAAAAACAUUGCUUGUACACAUGGAUAAGCUGACUUAUCAGUUCAAUCAUCCCAUCAAAACAUCAACAUCAAAGUUUAUUCUCAACCAAACUAAAUUACAUUGCAACUUGCACAAAUGCUGCAGCAUGCAUACAAGCUGUAUGCACUCAACAAAAUCAUCAUACUACCAUGCACUUUAACAAAAACAUAACAGCAGCAUGGUUGGCCAUUUUCAACAUAUUUCCUACCAUAUGUCGCUGCCCAUUCCUUAGCUAGGGAUCCAAUUUUGAGCAUGGCAUUUGCCUCAAUGUUAUUAGUUGACUCUUACAUAACAGCAGCAUGGUUGGCCAUUUUCAACAUAUUUCCUACCAUAUGCCGCUGCUCAUUCCUUAGCUAGGGAUCCAAUUUUGAGCAUGGCAUUUGCCUCAAUGUUAUUAGUUGACUCUUGAUUCAAGUUGAAGCAAUUACAGAAUAACAUGCGAAACACAUCAUCACAUUCAUCACCUAACGAAUCAAACUGAUAUAAAUUUUGAUCUGCAAAGGAAACUUUUUCUAAUAAUGUGCAGUCAUGUACAUUCAAGUAGAGCAGAUAUGGUGGAAGCUCUGAGAGUAAUUUGAGGCUCUUGCAACGAUCCAUCCACAUAAACAUCAAGCUUGGUGAGGGCACAUCAACAGUUGGAAACGAGGAUUUGACGAUUGGACAACCAUCAUAAUAAAGGGAAAUAUUGCUCGAUGCAUCCCUUGCCCUUUAGUUGGAAUACAAGUCCACUCCUUCAAUUUGAGUUCCAGAUAGGUGUAAAUCUAUUAAGCUUCUUGGGAUUUUUGGGGAUUUGACGAAUGGACAACUGUUAACAUUAAUGGAAGACAAUUAAUAAUGGUUGCCAUUAACAUUAAUGGGAGACAAUCAAUAAUGACAACCACCAACUUUGGAAAAGUGGCAAGGGAUAAUUUUUUUUUGGUCCUUGAGUUAAUGGGCUAUUUAUUGUUUGGUCCUUGAACCUCAACUAUAAAUAGGCCUUCUCAUUUCUCAUUUCAAUUCAUCCCAACCAAUCUUUCUCUCUUAGUUUUCUCUCUUCUCCCAUUUGAGAAUUCUUAAGGAAUUCUAUUUGUUUGUAAUAUUUUGGAGAUAGUAAAGUUAUCAUCUGGUGUUAGUGCCCGAGGACGUAGGUAUAAUUUACCGAACCUCGUUAAAACUCUUGUGUUCUUUCUUGUCCUAUUUUUCUUUCAAUAUUUGAGGGUAUAAUAGUAGUAUUUAAUUGUGCUAUUAAAUUACUAUAGAAGGGAUAUUCUGACUAAGGAAAGACUUGGUAUUUAAGAGAUCCAUGUGAUCCACCUCUCUUCCCUGGGAAUUAAACUUUGUGUGAUUUUUUAGUACAAUAAUUUACACGCUUCCGACCCUAUUGGAACAACAAGUGGCAUCAGAGCCGAAGGUUAAUCGUAGUAUGCUCUGUGGUUGCAGUUUGAACUGAUCUUCCACAUCAGAAAAGAUUUCCUUAGGUAUAUUGAAAGAUUAUGGAGAAAACGGUCGGUGUAGGAGCUUCAACAUCGUCCAUGUGGACAAGACCGACAAUUGCAAAUGCAAGACUGGUUGUGGAGAUCUUUGAUGGCACGGGCCAUUUUGGUAUGUGGCAAAGUGAGGUUCUAGAUGCCCUUUUUCAGCAGGGUCUAGACAUUGCCAUUGAUGAAGAGAAACCAGAUGAUGUACAGGAGAAAGAUUGGAAGGCGAUCAAUCGGUUGGCAUGUGGCACAAUUCGAUCAUGCCUUUCUCGAGAGCAGAGGUAUGCUUUUUCAAAGGAGACUUCUGCAAAUAAGUUGUGGGUGGCACUUGAAGAAAAAUUUUUGAAGAAAAACAGUCAAAAUAAGUUCCACUUGAAGAAAAGACUGUUUCGCUUCACAUACGUCCUAAGUACCACAAUGAAUGAUCACAUCACCAAAUUUAAUCAGUUAGUCACUGAUUUGCUGAAUAUGGAUGAGACAUUCAAAGAUGAAGAUUUGGCUUUGAUGCUGUUGGGGUCACUUCCUGAGGAGUUUGAGUUCCUAGAAACUACUCUACUUCAUGGCAGGAAUGAUAUAUCUCUGAGCGAAGUCUGUGCGGCCUUAUACAGUUAUGAACAGAGAAAGAAGGACAAACAGAAAAACUCAAUCAGAGAUACAGAAGCUUUAGUAGUCCGAGGUCGUUCAUACACUCGGAAGAAAACUCAAAAGGGGAGAUCAAAGUCAAAGUCCAGACUCGGGAAAGAUGAAUGUGCUUUUUGUCAUAAGAAAUGCCACUGGAAGAAAAAUUGUCCAAAGCUGAAGAAUAAGGGAAAAGCUGCUGUAGAUGCUUGUGUUGCAAAGCAUGAUACUAGUGACUCUGAACUAUCACUGGUUGCAUCAUCAUCGUCGUUCCAUUCAGAUGAGUGGAUAUUGGAUUCGGGUUGUACCUAUCAUAUGUCCCCUAACCGGGAGUGGUUCUCUGAUUUAGUAGAACUAAAUGGAGGAGUUGUUUAUAUGGGCAAUGACAAUACCUGUAAAACUAUUGGGAUAGGUUCAAUCCAAUUAAAGAAUCAAGAUGGAUCAACCAGAGUUCUGACUGAUGUUCGGUACGUGCCCAGUUUGAAGAAAAAUCUCAUCUCAUUAGGAGCCUUGGAAUCCAAUGGUUCAGUUGUUACUAUGAGAGAUGGGAUUUUGAAAGUGACAUCUGGCGCACUUGUGAUAUUGAAGGGCAUCAGGAAAAAUAACUUGUAUUACUACCAAGGUAGUACAGUUAUUGGAGCAGUCGCUACAGCUUCCGGUAACAAAGAAUUGGACUCAAUGCAGUUGUGGCAUAUGAAGUUGGGACAUGCCAGCGAAAAAUUCUUGCAAAUUCUGGCAAAGCAAUGAUUGUUGAAAGGUACAAAGGCUUGCAAAUUAAAAUUUUGCGAGCAUUGUGUUCUGGGAAAGCAAAAGAGAGUGAAAUUCGGUACUGCUAUCCAUAAUACAAAAGGUAUUUUGGAAUAUGUUCACUCAGAUGUGUGGGGGCCUUCCAAGACACCUUCAUUGGGAGGAAAACACUACUUUGUUACUUUUGUUGAUGACUUUUCCAGAAGAGUUUGGGUGUAUACCAUAAGAACUAAGGAUGAAGUGCUUAGAGUUUUUCUUAGAUGGAAAACUAUGAUCGAAAACCAGACUGGCAAGAAAAUCAAGCGGCUUAGGACGGACAAUGGAGGGAAAUAUAAAAGUGAUCCGUUCUUCGAUGUGUGCCAAGAGUAUGGUAUUGUUUGACACUUUAUAGUUAGGGAUACACCACAGCAGAAUGGAUUGGCAGAGCGUAUGAAUCGAACAUUGCUGGAGAAAGUUUGAUGUAUGUUGUCCAAUGCUGGGUUGGGCAAGCAAUUUUGGGCUGAGGUUGUGACAUAUGCUGGCCAUCUUGUUAAUCGUUUGCCAUCAUCUGCAUUAGAAAGAAAAACUCCUAUGGAGGUAUGGUCUGGAAAAUCGGCUACAGAUUAUGAUUCCUUACAUGUGUUUGGAUCCACUGCAUAUUACCAUGUGAAGGAGUCAAAGUUAGAUCCGAGGGCAAAGAAAGCUCUCUUUAUGAGAAUCACUUCUGGAGUGAAGAGAUUUCGUCUUUGGUGCUUAAGCACAAAGAAAAUGAUCUGUAGCAGAGAUGUUACCUUUGAUGAAUCUGCCACAUUGAAAAAGGUAGCAGAUAAAGAUAUUCAGACGAGCAAUACUCCACAGCAGGUGGAGUGUACUCCAAAACAGGUGGAGUUUGAGCAUAUAGGGAUUUGCCCAGUUAAUAAGUCUAAUUCUCUAGCCACAAUGGAGGAAUUAGAGGUUGAAGAGGUUCUGACCCAAGAACCACUAAGUACACCAGAACCAGUUGCAGUUGCAAGGCCACGGAGAGAAAUUCGUAAACCUGCUCGAUUUACUGAUAUGGUGGCCUACGCCCUUCCCGUUGUUGAUGAUAUUCCUAUCACUUAUCAAGAAGCAAUGCAAAGCUUAGAAAGUGAUAAAUGGAAAAGCGUCAUGGAUGAAGAAAUGCAGUCUCUCCGGAAGAACAAUACUUGGGAGUUGGCGCAAUUACCGAAAGGUAAAAGGGCAAUCGGAUGCAAGUGGGUAUUCGCAAAGAAAGAUGGAUCUCCUAGCAAGAAGGAUAUUCGCUACAAGGCAAGAUUGGUAGCUAAAGGCUACACUCAGAAGGAGGGAAUUGACUACAAUGAUGUAUUUUCCCCUGUUGUGAAGCAUUCCUCCAUUAGAAUUUUGUUGGCCUUGGUAGCACAGUUGAAUUUGGAGAUAGCUCAACUUGAUGUUAAGACGACUUUCUUGCAUGGUGAGUUAGAAGAGGAGAUCUAUAUGACUCAGCCCGAAGGAUACACAGAUGCUGGUGGUAGAAAUUGGGUUUGUAAGCUGAACAAAUUGCUAUAUGGAUUGAAGCAAUCCCCGAGGCAGUGGUACAAGCGAUUUGAUAGCUUUAUGAGAAGGCAGAAGUACACAAGAAGCAAAUAUGACAAUUGUGUGUAUUUGCAGAAGAUGUAUGACGGAUCUUUCAUUUAUCUACUCUUGUAUGUUGAUGAUAUGUUAAUCGCUUCGAAGAGCCAAAAAGAGAUAGAUAAGCUGAAGGCUCAGUUGAAUCAAGAGUUCGAGAUGAAAUAUCCAGGUGAGGCCAAGAAGAUUCUCGGCAUGGAGAUAAGUAGAGAUAGACAGAGAGGCAAGCUUUGUUUGAAUCAGAAGCAAUAUUUGAAAAAGGUAUUACAAUGUUUUGGUGUAAAUGAAAACACAAAACAUGUAAGUACCCCACUUGCUUCUCAUUUGAAACUUAGUGCUCAAUUAUCUCCGAAAACUGAAGAAGAAAGAGAAUAUAUGGCAAAAGUCUCAUAUGCUAAUGCAGUUGGGAGUUUGAUGUAUGCGAUGGUGUGUACGCGGCCUGACAUUUCACAAGUUGUUGGAGUUGUGAGCAGGUAUAUGCAUGAUCCUGGAAAAGGACAUUGGCAAGCUGUGAAAUGGAUUCUACGGUAUCUUCGAAAAACCGUAGAUGUUGGUUUAAUUUUUGAGCAGGAUGAAGCAUUUGGUCAGUUUGUAGUUGGAUAUGUUGAUUCCGACUUUGCUGGUGAUUUAGAUAAACGUCGUUCAACUACGGGGUAUCUGUUUACUCUUGCGAAAGCCCCAGUGAGUUGGAAGUCUACCUUACAGUCUACAGUAGCUGUGUCUACUACAGAGGCAGAAUAUAUGGCAGUUACAGAAGCUGUUAAAGAGGCUAUUUGGCUUAAUGGAUUGUUGAAAGACUUAGGAGUUGUUCAAAGUCACAUAAGUUUAUAUUGUGACAGUCAGAGCGCUAUUCAUUUAGCGAAAAAUCAAGUCUAUCAUUCAAGAACCAAGCAUAUCGACGUAAGAUAUCACUUUGUGCGGGAAGUCUUUGAAAAAGGAAAAAUUCUACUUCAGAAGAUUCCGACAGCAGAUAAUCCCGCAGAUAUGAUGACCAAGGUGGUAACAACAAUCAAGUUUAAUCAUUGUUUGAACUUGAUUAACAUCCUGAGAAUUUGAGCACCUUCAGGUGUAUAGCGCUCGAGAGCGCAUUUGUAGGCACUACAAAAGAUAGCUUUAUCGAAUUUGGGGAGUUGAAGGAAGUGUGUGAAGAUGUGAUUAUCCUAAUCAAAUCUUCAAGGUGGAGAUUGUUAACAUUAAUGGAAGACAAUUAAUAAUGGUUGCCAUUAACAUUAAUGGGAGACAAUCAAUAAUGACAACCACCAACUUUGGAAAAGUGGCAAGGGAUAAUUUUUUUUUUGGUCCUUGAGUUAAUGGGCUAUUUAUUGUUUGGUCCUUGAACCUCAACUAUAAAUAGGCCUUCUCAUUUCUCAUUUCAAUUCAUCCCAACCAAUCUUUCUCUCUUAGUUUUCUCUCUUCUCCCAUUUGAGAAUUCUUAAGGAAUUCUAUUUGUUUGUAAUAUUUUGGAGAUAGUAAAGUUAUCAUCUAGUGUUAGUGCCCGAGGACGUAGGUAUAAUUUACCGAACCUCGUUAAAACUCUUGUGUUCUUUCUUGUCCUAUUUUUCUUUCAAUAUUUGAGGGUAUAAUAGUAGUAUUUAAUUGUGCUAUUAAAUUACUAUAGAAGGGAUAUUCUGACUAAGGAAAGACUUGGUAUUUAAGAGAUCCAUGUGAUCCACCUCUCUUCCCUAGAAAUUGAACUUUGUGUGAUUUUUUAGUACAAUAAUUUACACGCUUCCGAUCCUAUUGGAACAACAACAACCACUAAGAUCUAGAACUUCAAGGGAUUUCAACUUUGAAAUAUUGCGUGAUAAAUCUUUUACCAUUGAGUUUCUCAAGGUCAAUCGUUGAAGUCUGUCGAGACGCUCAAUGAAAUCAGGUACUUUUUUUAUUCCGGUUUCUGAUAAAUCUAACUCAUCAAAGUUAUUUGGGAUCUCCGGAAACUUCUUGAGACGACAACAUCCCAUAAGGCAAAGGGAUGUAAGUGAUGUCAAACGGGCGAGGGAAGGAAGUUUAACCAAACUUUCACAAUUUGCACACUGAAGUCUUUCAAGGUUGACGGCUCCUAAUAAAUUAGGGAUCUUCUUUAAAUUUUUGCAACAGAAAAGGUUAAUUUUCCAUAAAUGAACAAGAUCCUGCAGAUGAUGAGAACAUAAAGUAGUUAGAGCAUCAUUUACUGAGACUCUUAUCAAAAUAAAAAUUUAUAUUUGAUGUAUUGGGUGUAUUAAUUCACCCACCAUUGUUUCUUUUAAAAAAUAGAAUAAAAUCUUUUAUAUUUAUUUUUUUAUAAAUUUAAUAAAAAUCUGUUAUUUAAAUGAUAUAUCAAUUAUAAAUUCUUUUUCUUAAAAAAAUUCUUAGAUGAGGAAAAUAUAAAAGUAUAUAUACCUUAUGAACUUCGUUCCAAAGCUGUUUCAUGUUUCCAUAUGGUAAUUCCAAUGCAACAAGAUUCUUUGGAUUAAAACUUGAUAAUAAAGAUUUGAAGGGGCAAUAAUCCCAUCGAAGAUACCUUAGCUCAUUCGGAAGAGAUAUAAUAUCAUCUUGGUAUGCAUAUAGCUUCUUAUAAUCCUCAUACUCUUCCCUCAACAAACACGGAGGAAAAUAGAAGAAAAUACAUUUAAGAUUAAUCAUGCUUUCAAAAACAGAAGGUUGGAAUGAUAGGUUACCCAUACGUGACAUGUCUACUUUUGUUCCAUGAAUUCGAU
rnacentral:lncRNA from 1 species